CAUCUCUGAUCCAGACAACACACACACACACACACACAAAGAGGAGUUAGAUCACACACUUUACAGUGGGACACAAACACAACGCAACACAAUACGUGCUUCUCUGAGCUGGUUUCAUACGAGUCAGGAAACGCCAGCGAGUGCACUUUACACCCACAUACUUCCAGGAUGAAGAGAUGCAUGCACACAGCGACACAAUACAACUGAAGCUGUGGCGUCUCGUUCUACUUCAGAGACACAAUACUGAUGUAGAUAUAUACUAGUGUGCUUUCUCUCGUCUCCCAAACGGGCGAUCACAGACAUUACUCACUCUUCUGCCAACGACGGAGUCCACGGUUUAUUCGGCGGUCUUGCUGGUCCUGAUCAAACACAAAUAUAUCAAACAUUGUGGCUCCGUUGGUCUUUUGGGAAGAACGAGAGGGGCUUUUUUCCGGAAGUGCUCCAGGUUUACGGACGGAGGCCGCUUGGGUUUGGCGGGUCGAGGCCCGACGUGGGGAAGCGGCUUCCUCAGCGGCACCACCUCGGAGACGCUGCGCUGGCCCGGCAGAGGCGGUCUGACAGCGGAGGGAGAACACACUUUCAUGUCGCUCUGCUGUCUCAGGAUCUUGCUCUGAAGAAGCUCUCCUGUCAGCCGGACUCGGCUCGGCGAGCUGCCCUCCACGGGGCCCGGUCUGGGGCCGUCCUGGGCUCCGGAGCGAUGAGCCGGAGGAGGUCUUGGAAACACACCCUGAGGGCCCGAGUGAAGCAUCUUUGGUUCACUCGAAGAGUUCAGAGGCACGAUCGCUCGGGGAGGCACAGCUGAAGGCUUGUUUCGGAGCACUCCAUUGGUUAAAGGCUCGUGAGGUCUGACGCCGGAAACUCCUCCUCCGGAUCCGGACGCCUCCAACUGAGCAUGAAACUUGGCCCGGAGGGCUUUGACAUCCACAUUUUCUUCCUGUUAAGAAAAUGUAAUUAUAAAACAAUUCAAGUUCCCUUUUGACUUACAGACG